AAAGGCUCAGCUGGCGGCAAUUGCCAGAGCAGAGAGCACAGCAAGUGUCUGCAAUUGCCGCCAGCUGAAGAGCAGCAGCACAAUGUAGUGGCAAUUGCCAACAGCUGAACAACUGCUCCAGGACUCUCAUCUGCCUCCAAAAGAGCAGGCCAUGAAAAAAUAUACUCCUAAAAAGAAUCCUAGCACUACCUUUGUUUUUUAGAUGUCCUUAACCAACAACAAAUGACACACAGUUUCCCUUACAUGGUGAUAAAAACAAUUUGGUAAGAAACAGCCCUUCUGAGACUUUGGUUGGGUGUGAUGGGUGAGCAGGACCCCAGAAGCAGCAUAGCCCAGGCAGGGAUGGAUUCCAGAGAAACUGAAGAAGAUGGUCACUCCCAGCCUUCAGAGGACAGCCCAGCAUGGAACCAAGGCCCUAAGAAACACAGUGGCUGGGGAGAGACGGGAGCAGAAAUGAAGUUCAGCUUAACACAAAUAAGCAAGAGAGUUUCAUCUUGAUGACAGGAUUCUGACCUUGAUGCUUCAUCAGCAAACCAAACUGGACAUACAGAAGACCAUGCACAGAGCACAAUUCUGUGUUUCUGAAAUCUUUCUCCUAUAAUCAAGUGGAAUAGACCUACCUAGCAAAAUACCU